GCACAGGUGGCCGAGUGGUUAAUGGCAGCAGACUGUAAAUCUGCCACGCAACGCGUUACGGAGGUUCGAAUCCUCCCCUGUGCACCA
rnacentral:tRNA from 1 species